UUGCAGACGCUCACUCCGAAUGCGCGUGGAGCGCCCCACAGGACCGCCGCCCCGGGCGAGUUGACGCGCACACGCCCCCCGCCAGGCUGGGCGUCCGGCUGCGAGCCCCGGGUCUGCAAACUUGAGCAUCUCCCCUCGCCGCGCCCGCCAGACAACUUGGCGAGCACCUCGCGCGCCCGCACCCUGCUUCCUCCAGCCCAAUCUCCAAAUCCCAAACCCACCGCCGUGCUCCAGAGAAGGUGCCCACGUCGCCCCCCAAGUCCAGGAGCGCCCCCUCUCCACCCCCGGGGCUGCCCUGGUCACUCAAUCCUAACGCCCCCCUCAGCUCUGCGGGGAGCCGAAAACCCACCCCGUCUCGGGCUGCCGGGGCCGAGACUGUCAAAGGAGAAAAGGACAUUCAGAUGCAGUAUUCUAUCAGCUUUAUCUUCUGAAUAAGUCCCUAUGGGAGACUUCUGACCUGCUCCAAAGUAGACUGACUGCUCUCUACACCGAGUGGACCAUUGUCAUCCAUGGAUCUUCCUUCACCUGCGUAUUCUUCCCUCUUGGUGGAUCUACUGUUUCCUGUAUCCCAUGUUUUCUAUUGUCUUGGGCCCAGGGAAGAGAUUUCAGUGAGACAACUUGGAGAACUCUGGAGUGUGUCACUCAUGCCUGAAAAGUCUGGAGAGAGAGAAGCUGGAGUCAGUAGCUGGCAGAGGUGGACUAAGGGCUGCAGUUUGCUCCAUAGAAUCAGAAACCAAGUGGGCAAGUCACAGGAGAAGCAGAAGCGCUGGGUGAGGAAAGAAGAAAGAAGCCCCCCUUUCCCACAGCAGGCAGUGGACCUACAUGGCAAACUGGAGGGUGGGAAAGGUGGGGGUGGGGACUUUGCCGUUAAGUAAAGAUGGAAGUUUAUCUUGUUACUCUGGGCUGGACAUUAAUUACUGAACUAAACUGCUGUGUGACCAAAGGUGACUGGAAGACUUCUCAUUGUCUGAAUUGACCUGGUCUUCAUCUGAGGGGAGGAUGAAUGAGUUUUAAUGUGCAGUGUAAGACUGCAUAUGUGACAUCACUACAAUCAUUCUAAUCACACAUGUAAACCUUUUUGAAGAGAUAAAGAUAACAUUCUAAAAAGCAGAAUCUCUGGAUGGUGUGAU